CUGAUCUGAGACAAAGACCUAUGAAAAUCAAAUCUUCCUGCAAUGAACAAAGUGACCACCUCCAUCAUGCUUCAGGCUUCCUGGAAAUGAAAACCCCCAACUUUGGAAAACAAGAUCUACAAUGGUGCAAAACAAGAUCAUGAGGAAAAUGCCAGCAGUUAUCGAGAGUUAUCCAUAGGUAACGCUCACUUGGAUGAAUAAAGAUUGGUUUAGUAUUGCAAGAACAUUCAUUGUAUAAAGUGUGACAAACUAGGGAAAUUAUUUGAAGCUGUUGAUGAAAACCAGACUGGACACUGCUUCAUAAAUAUGUUCUCCUCAUCUGACCUAUUUAACAGCUGAGAAUGUGAACUCAAUCAAGGAUAGGUGCAAUGGAGUUAAGGAUUCCUUACAGUGCCUAAAAGUAGAAGAUAAGGUACCUGAUUCUUCGAGAGGUAAGGUAACUUGCCUACAGCCUCAUUGUAAGUGCUAGAAGCAAGAUUCAAGCCAUCUUUCCUGGCAUCUGUAACUUUCCCUGUAAUACUACACAAAUGAAUACAAGAAGGACAAAAAAGUGCUAUGUGAGAUCUCAGAAGAAAGAUUUUUGUGGGGCUGAACAUAUUCAUAUUAUAAAAAUUAUAAAAAAUUCAUCAUAAAAUCUGAAUUUUGAUUUGAGUUCAGAAAAGAACAAGUAAAAUUAUCAUUUUUGUAUUUAUUUUUUCUUCUCUUCAUAUGUCAAGAAGUUGUUGAUCUUGGUCAUCCUGGUUGCUUUAUACUAUGUAUUCUAUAGUUCUCAAUGUCCUUGGUAAAAUGGUGAAGAAAGACUUGCCCACAAUUCUCCAGCUGUAGUCUCACAAAGGAAAAAUAUAGCAUAUUAAGAGCUCUUCAUUUCUGGGCCUUAUCACUUUCUUGUCUGCCAUGACAUGCUGUUCGCUCAGACUUGUCUUGCAGUCCACUCUGUUUCUCAUCUCCAGCUUUCAACUAACCUUUUUUUUUUUUUCAGGCAAAAAAUUCUUGAAGACUUAUUAGAAAUGUGAGAUUGAAGAGACAAAACCUUUUUUUUUUUUUUUUUUGCUCCAAAGUAGUAACACUGGAUGUCUAAAAACAUGCUAUCAAUAGAAAUGAAGAAAUUUGGAGAAAGGAUGAGCAGAGGGUAAAGACAGUAAAAUCUAUUUUGUAUCUGUUGAGUUUCAUCAAGAAAUUUUAUGAGUACAUCUGUGCUUUUAUCUAAGUCAUUAAAAAGUGUUAAACAAACCACUAAGGUCAGUUGACACCUUCUGUAGAUUUGCUUCAAACAUAAGGUCAAACUAUUAAUGAUAAUUCUUUUGGCCUAGCCCUUCAAUUAGUUCUAAACCCACUUAAUUGUAGUAUUGCCUAAUCCACACCUUUAUUUAUUUUCUUUUUAAAAAAUAAUAAUUUAUGUUCUGAACUUAACAAAUACCAAGAAACAUGAACACAUCAACAUGUAAAGAACAGAAAAACUACACAAACUUACU